GCGCCUUCUCGCCACUACUGUCCGAAUAACUACUUUGCAUUUAACCUGUAUCGCCAGGUGGCAGUACAAAGGUGUGCAACAGUCAAAGCACCCUUACUGCACAUUAUCCCCCACUGCACAAUCAGACUCGCACCAAAGCAGUCGCAACACAAUAAUUUCUCUCUCCGGCUAGGAUGAGAUUUGGUGCGAGAAAAUUCCAAAAAAACUAUUUCAUAUUAGACCCGAACUACGGGUCUUGGUCCUGAUCUCGGUCUUAGUCUUGAUCUUAAUUACUAAACCACGAGACCUGAAUAAAAGUCGAAUUGCUACAGUGAAGAA